AUUGAACGCUGGCGGCAGGCCUAACACAUGCAAGUCGAACGAGUGGCGGACGGGUGAGUAAUGUCUGGGAAACUACCUGAUGGAGGGGGAUAACUACUGGAAACGGUAGCUAAUACCGCAUACCAUCGGAUGUGCCCAGAUGGGAUUAGCUAGUAGGUGGGGUAAAGGCUAACCUAGGCGACGAUCCAUAGCUGGUCUGAGAGGAUGACCAGCACCACGGGAACUGAACCACGGUCCAGACUCCUCCGGAAGGCAGCAGUGGGGAAUAUUGCACAAUGGGCGCAAGCCUGAUGCAGACAUGCCGCGUGUAUGAAGAAGGCCUUCGGGUGGUAAAGUACUUUCAGCGGGGAGGCGUUACCCGCAGAAGAAGCACCAGCUAACUCCGUGCCAGCCGCCGCGGUAAUAC
rnacentral:rRNA from 1 species